rnacentral:rRNA from 1 species
CCUACGGGAGGCAGCAGUCGGGAAUAUUGCGCAAUGGAGGAAACUCUGACGCAGUGACGCCGCGUGCAGGAAGAAGGUUUUCGGAUUGUAAACUGCUUUAGACAGGGAAGAAACAAGACAGUACCUGUAAAAUAAGCUCCGGCUAACUACGUGCCAGCAGCCGCGGUAAUACGUGGGGAGCAAGCGUUGUCCGGCUUUAUUGGGUGGAAAGGGUGCGUAGGCGGGAAGUCAAGUUGGUUGUGAAAACCCUGGGGUUAACUGAGGAACUGCAACCAAAACUAACAUACUUGAGUGCUGGAGAGGAAAGUGGAAUUCCAAGUGUAGCGGUGAAAUGCGUAGAUAUUAGGAAGAACACCAGAGGCGAAGGCGACUUUCUGGACAGAAACUGACGUUGAGGCACGAAAGUGUGGGGAGCAAACAGGAUUAGAUACCCUGGUAGUC